rnacentral:misc_RNA from 1 species
GAUGAAGAACGUAGCGAAAUGCGAUAACUAGUGUGAAUUGCAGAAUUCCGUGAAUCAUCGAGUCUUUGAACGCACAUUGCGCCCCCUGGUAUUCCGGGGGGCAUGCCUGUUCGAGCGUCAUUUCAACCCUCAAGCUCUGCUUGGUAUUGAGUCCAUGUCAGCAAUGGCAGGCUCCAAAAUCAGUGGCGGCGCCGCUGGGUCCUGAACGUAGUAAUAUCUCUCGUUACAGGUGCUCGGCGUGCUUCUGCCAAAACCCCAAUUUUUCUAUGGUUGACCUCGGAUCAGGUAGGGAUACCCGCUGAACUUAAGCAUAUCAAUAAGCGGAGGA